rnacentral:rRNA from 1 species
GGAUCGGAGUCUGCAGCCCGACUCCGUGAAGCUGGAUUCGCUAGUAAUCGCGCAUCAGCCAUGGCGCGGUGAAUACGUUCCCGGGCCUUGUACACACCGCCCGUCAAGCCAUGGAAGCCGGGGGCGCUUGAAGUGCGUUGCCGCAAGGCGCGCCCUAGAGCGAAACCGGUGACUGGGGCUAAGUCGUAACAAGGUACC